CUCACUGUAACCCCCCUCCAGGUCUGUUCUCCUACUAAUCUCACUGUAACCCCCCUCCAGGUCUCUGUUCUCCUACUAAUCUCACUGUAACCCCCCUCCAGGUCUCUGUUCUCCUACUAAUCUCACUGUAACCCCCCUCCAGGUCUCUGUUCUCCUACUAAUCUCACUGUAACCCCCCUCCAGGUCUCUGUUCUCCUACUAAUCUCACUGUAACCCCCCUCCAGGUCUCUGUUCUCCUACUAAUCUCACUGUAACCCCCCUCCAGGUCUCUGUUCUCCUACUAAUCUCACUGUAACCCCCCUCCAGGUCUGUUCUCCUACUAAUCUCAC
rnacentral:lncRNA from 1 species